GUUCCAUACUUCCAUACAGAUAAUAACAAUAGGCUAUUAUAACAAAUAUAACACAUUUAGAUACCUGCUAAAAGUAGUACUAGUAUUCCCGUAAAUUUGACCACCAAACGCUAUAAUAUUUUUUUUCUGUUUGGCGUAAAGUCCUUCCGGCUUGAUACUAAAUUGACGCUCGAAUUAAAGCUUGAUAUGCAAAUAUGAGACAAGCUUAGCCUCCUCCGCAGGCCUCUCUAUGGGUUUUAGCCUGCGAAUGGGUUUUGAAAAAAAAAAUUCUCACCACCCGAUUCCUCAGGUGAGAUGCCUGCGGAGGAGGCUAAGACAAGCUACCCCCAGUGAAUAAAUUUCCGAAAUC